CACACAGGGGUUUUAUAAUAGAGAGACAGAGAGAGAGACGCAGAGAGAGACAUUAACAACCACCAGUAGAUUAGGGUCCAGAACCAGUAGAUUAGGGUCCAGAACCAGUAGAUUAGGGUCCAGAACCAGUAUAUUAGGGUCCAGAACCAGUCGAUUAGGGUCCAGAACCAGUAGAUUAGGGUCCAGAACCAGUAUAUUAGGGUCCAGAACCAGUCGGUUAGCGUCCAGAACCAGUAGAUUAGGGUCCAGAGGCAGUAGAUUAGGGUCCAGAACCAGUAGAUUAGGGUCCAGAACCAGUAGAUUAGGGUCCAGAGUGAUUAAGAACGAGGUGGUCUGGAGGCAGGGAUAAAUCACACAUUAAAAUCAAACUCAUUUACUACCCUGAUGUCAGGGAUUACAGAAAGAUACUAAUCAAAACCCAUUGUAAAUGUAAUGAUAGUAAUGUACUGUUUUCUAGCAAUCACUCAUUAUUGCUUACUUUUUGGUUUCGCUAAAAACCACUGCUUCCCGACAAAUAACCGCUGAUACCACACUCCCACAUUACACUGAGUGGACAAAACAUUAGGAACACCUCUUUCCGUGACCUAGACUGACCAGGUGAUUACAGGUGAAAGAUAUGAUCCCUUUAUUGAUGUCACUUGUUAAAUCCACUUCAAAUCAGUGUAGAUGAAGGGGCGGAGUCAG
ensembl:lncRNA